UACGAGAGGCCCAAACGUUAUUCGGAUUUACUGGGCUUAAAGAGUCCGUAGGCGGCGCAGAAAGUGGGGUGUGAAAGCCCUCGGCUUAACCGAGGAAUUGCGCUCCAAACUCCUGUGCUUGAGGAAUCUAGAGGUGAGCGGAACUGAUGGUGGAGCGGUGAAAUGCGUUGAUAUCAUCAGGAACACCGGAGGCGAAGGCGGCUCACUGGGGAUUUUCUGACGCUGAGGGACGAAAGCCAGGGGAGCGAACAGG
rnacentral:rRNA from 1 species